rnacentral:rRNA from 1 species
AGAGUUUGAUCMUGGCUCAGGACGAACGCUGGCGGCGUGCCUAAUACAUGCAAGUCGAGCGGACCGAAUGAGAGCUUGCUCUURUUUGGUCAGCGGCGGACGGGUGAGUAACACGUGGGCAACCUGCCCGCAAGACCGGGAUAACUCCGGGAAACCGGAGCUAAUACCGGAUAACACCGAAGACCGCAUGGUCUUCGGUUGAAAGGCGGCCUUUGGCUGUCACUUGCGGAUGGGCCCGCGGCGCAUUAGCUAGUUGGUGAGGUAACGGCUCACCAAGGCGACGAUGCGUAGCCGGCCUGAGAGGGUGACCGGCCACACUGGGACUGAGACACGGCCCAGACUCCUACGGGAGGCAGCAGUAGGGAAUCUUCCGCAAUGGACGAAAGUCUGACGGAGCGACGCCGCGUGAGCGAAGAAGGCCUUCGGGUCGUAAAGCUCUGUUGUGAGGGACGAAGGAGCGCCGUUUGAACAAGGCGGCGCGGUGACGGUACCUCACGAGAAAGCCCCGGCUAACUACGUGCCAGCCGCCGCGGUAAUWC